UACGGAGGAUGCAAGCGUUAUCCGGAUUUAUUGGGUUUAAAGGGUGCGUAGGCGGGACAGUAAGUCAGUGGUGAAAGUCUGCGGCUUAACCGUAGAAUUGCCAUUGAUACUGCUAUUCUUGAAUGUAGUUGAGGUAGGCGGAAUGUGUAAUGUAGCGGUGAAAUGCUUAGAUAUUACACAGAACACCGAUUGCGUAGGCAGCUUACUAAGCUAUUAUUGACGCUGAGGCACGAAAGCGUGGGGAUCGAACAGG
rnacentral:rRNA from 1 species